AUGUCACUUGAACCGUUUGUGCUUCUGAGCUCCACAGCUGCCAACAUGAUCUCCCAGAUUCAGUUUCUCUGGCUCCUUGUGCUCUGCAUUCAGGACUCCAUUGGGCAGAUUGUGGUGACUCAGACUCCAGAAUCCCUGGCAGUGUCUCCUGGAGACACAGUCACUAUCCGCUGCAAAACCAGUUCCAGCGUAGGCAGCUACAUGAAUCUGUACCAGCAGAAAUCAGGACAAGAGCCUAAACUCCUUAUCUAUCGUGCUUCUAACCGUCCCUCUGGGAUCCCAGACCGGUUCAGUGGCAGCGGGUCUGGCACCGACUUCACAUUCACCAUCAGCAGGGUUGAAGCGGAUGAUGCUGGAGAUUAUUACUGUCAGUGUUACUACAGUAGCUCUCUCACACAGUGA